rnacentral:siRNA from 1 species
AGAAUAUCUAAAGGUUCCGAUUGU